AGGUAAAAGAAUAAUAAAAAAUAUUCUGAUUGAAAACAGAAUGAACAUGGAAACAAUUCACUAUAUGUGAUUUUUAAAAGAGGUGUGAUCAGAGUAUCAAAGAGACAAUAGAAUCAUAAAGUGCCUAACUGGAAUGAGAGAAAUAAAUCUGUAUUGGACAAGGGACAGCACAAGAUAGUGAUCCCUGAAAAGAAAACUCAUCAGGCAAAAAUAUCAGGUUCUACACUAUGGAGCCCCAUAAACGUAAGAAGACUACAUAUUCUAAGAAGUACUAACAGUAAAGAUGAGAGAACUGAAACAGAGAAACUUGCCUCAAACAACACUGUUGGGGCAAAUGAGGACCAAGCACUGACCUAAGCACUACUCCAACCAUAUCAUAUCACCUGCUGCUUAAAACUAUGGUGAGCUUUCUAACAUAA